rnacentral:tRNA from 1 species
GGUGAGGUGUCCGAGUGGCUAAAGGAGCACGCCUGGAAAGUGUGUAUAUACUAAAAGUGUAUCGAGGGUUCGAAUCCCUCCCUCACCG